rnacentral:lncRNA from 1 species
AAGCAAUUCACGUUGGGGAGAGGGUGGCCUGGACUUUGGCCAGUAGGCAGUGGGAAUGAUUCAUCAGGGCUGGAUUUGAAGAACAAAGCUGAGAGGAGGGUGGAAGUAGGCCAGAAUCCAGCCCUGCCCACUGACUUUUUGUUCCUCCUUCUACCGCCAACCCCAUGUGCACCCACAGAGAAGCCCAGCCAUAGGAGCUCUCUGCUUCCCAGCUACACAUCAGAGGGCUGCAGAGCUCCAAGGCAUGGAGGGCUGCGGUGAGGAGCUAGAAGAGGGUCUUGGAGUUCUGGCAGGUAAGAGGCUGCCCCGUCCCUCGAGGUAGAUGAGGAGCCCCGACAGAGGGAGGCGGGAGAGAAGAGUUUCAGUCUUUCCCCAGGAGAAAUGGGUAUGAAGACAGAAACCCAUAAAUACACCCAGCCAGCCGUGCACUAAGAACUCAGGCUCGUCCGCAGAUGAGCAAGAGGAACACCCAGAGCCCAGAAAGCCAC